rnacentral:rRNA from 1 species
UCGUGGAGUGAUUUGUCUGCUUAAUUGCGAUAACGAACGAGACCUUAACCUGCUAAAUAGCCAGGCUAGCUUAGGCUGGUCGCCGGCUUCUUAGAGGGACUAUCGGCUCAAGCCGAUGGAAGUUUGAGGCAAUAACA